rnacentral:rRNA from 1 species
GGGUUGUGAGGUUAAGCGACUAAGCGUACACGGUGGAUGCCCUGGCAGUCAGAGGCGAUGAAGGACGUGCUAAUCUGCGAUAAGCGUCGGUAAGGUGAUAUGAACCGUUAUAACCGGCGAUUUCCGAAUGGGGAAACCCAGUGUGUUUCGACACACUAUCAUUAACUGAAUCCAUAGGUUAAUGAGGCGAACCGGGGGAACUGAAACAUCUAAGUACCCCGAGGAAAAGAAAUCAACCGAGAUUCCCCCAGUAGCGGCGAGCGAACGGGGAGCAGCCCAGAGCCUGAAUCAGUGUGUGUGUUAGUGGAAGCGUCUGGAAAGGCGCGCGAUACAGGGUGACAGCCCCGUACACAAAAAUGCACAUGCUGUGAGCUCGAUGAGUAGGGCGGGACACGUGGUAUCCUGUCUGAAUAUGGGGGGACCAUCCUCCAAGGCUAAAUACUCCUGACUGACCGAUAGUGAACCAGUACCGUGAGGGAAAGGCGAAAAGAACCCCGGCGAGGGGAGUGAAAAAGAACCUGAAACCGUGUACGUACAAGCAGUGGGAGCCUCUUUAUGGGGUGACUGCGUACCUUUUGUAUAAUGGGUCAGCGACUUAUAUUCUGUAGCAAGGUUAACCGAAUAGGGGAGCCGAAGGGAAACCGAGUCUUAACUGGGCGUUAAGUUGCAGGGUAUAGACCCGAAACCCGGUGAUCUAGCCAUGGGCAGGUUGAAGGUUGGGUAACACUAACUGGAGGACCGAACCGACUAAUGUUGAAAAAUUAGCGGAUGACUUGUGGCUGGGGGUGAAAGGCCAAUCAAACCGGGAGAUAGCUGGUUCUCCCCGAAAGCUAUUUAGGUAGCGCCUCGUGAAUUCAUCUCCGGGGGUAGAGCACUGUUUCGGCAAGGGGGUCAUCCCGACUUACCAACCCGAUGCAAACUGCGAAUACCGGAGAAUGUUAUCACGGGAGACACACGGCGGGUGCUAACGUCCGUCGUGAAGAGGGAAACAACCCAGACCGCCAGCUAAGGUCCCAAAGUCAUGGUUAAGUGGGAAACGAUGUGGGAAGGCCCAGACAGCCAGGAUGUUGGCUUAGAAGCAGCCAUCAUUUAAAGAAAGCGUAAUAGCUCACUGGUCGAGUCGGCCUGCGCGGAAGAUGUAACGGGGCUAAACCAUGCACCGAAGCUGCGGCAGCGACGCUUAUGCGUUGUUGGGUAGGGGAGCGUUCUGUAAGCCUGUGAAGGUGUACUGUGAGGUAUGCUGGAGGUAUCAGAAGUGCGAAUGCUGACAUAAGUAACGAUAAAGCGGGUGAAAAGCCCGCUCGCCGGAAGACCAAGGGUUCCUGUCCAACGUUAAUCGGGGCAGGGUGAGUCGACCCCUAAGGCGAGGCCGAAAGGCGUAGUCGAUGGGAAACAGGUUAAUAUUCCUGUACUUGGUGUUACUGCGAAGGGGGGACGGAGAAGGCUAUGUUGGCCGGGCGACGGUUGUCCCGGUUUAAGCGUGUAGGCUGGUUUUCCAGGCAAAUCCGGAAAAUCAAGGCUGAGGCGUGAUGACGAGGCACUACGGUGCUGAAGCAACAAAUGCCCUGCUUCCAGGAAAAGCCUCUAAGCAUCAGGUAACAUCAAAUCGUACCCCAAACCGACACAGGUGGUCAGGUAGAGAAUACCAAGGCGCUUGAGAGAACUCGGGUGAAGGAACUAGGCAAAAUGGUGCCGUAACUUCGGGAGAAGGCACGCUGAUAUGUAGGUGAAGCGACUUGCUCGUGGAGCUGAAAUCAGUCGAAGAUACCAGCUGGCUGCAACUGUUUAUUAAAAACACAGCACUGUGCAAACACGAAAGUGGACGUAUACGGUGUGACGCCUGCCCGGUGCCGGAAGGUUAAUUGAUGGGGUUAGCGCAAGCGAAGCUCUUGAUCGAAGCCCCGGUAAACGGCGGCCGUAACUAUAACGGUCCUAAGGUAGCGAAAUUCCUUGUCGGGUAAGUUCCGACCUGCACGAAUGGCGUAAUGAUGGCCAGGCUGUCUCCACCCGAGACUCAGUGAAAUUGAACUCGCUGUGAAGAUGCAGUGUACCCGCGGCAAGACGGAAAGACCCCGUGAACCUUUACUAUAGCUUGACACUGAACAUUGAGCCUUGAUGUGUAGGAUAGGUGGGAGGCUUUGAAGUGUGGACGCCAGUCUGCAUGGAGCCGACCUUGAAAUACCACCCUUUAAUGUUUGAUGUUCUAACGUUGACCCGUAAUCCGGGUUGCGGACAGUGUCUGGUGGGUAGUUUGACUGGGGCGGUCUCCUCCUAAAGAGUAACGGAGGAGCACGAAGGUUGGCUAAUCCUGGUCGGACAUCAGGAGGUUAGUGCAAUGGCAUAAGCCAGCUUGACUGCGAGCGUGACGGCGCGAGCAGGUGCGAAAGCAGGUCAUAGUGAUCCGGUGGUUCUGAAUGGAAGGGCCAUCGCUCAACGGAUAAAAGGUACUCCGGGGAUAACAGGCUGAUACCGCCCAAGAGUUCAUAUCGACGGCGGUGUUUGGCACCUCGAUGUCGGCUCAUCACAUCCUGGGGCUGAAGUAGGUCCCAAGGGUAUGGCUGUUCGCCAUUUAAAGUGGUACGCGAGCUGGGUUUAGAACGUCGUGAGACAGUUCGGUCCCUAUCUGCCGUGGGCGCUGGAGAACUGAGGGGGGCUGCUCCUAGUACGAGAGGACCGGAGUGGACGCAUCACUGGUGUUCGGGUUGUCAUGCCAAUGGCACUGCCCGGUAGCUAAAUGCGGAAGAGAUAAGUGCUGAAAGCAUCUAAGCACGAAACUUGCCCCGAGAUGAGUUCUCCCUGACUCCUUGAGAGUCCUGAAGGAACGUUGAAGACGACGACGUUGAUAGGCCGGGUGUGUAAGCGCAGCGAUGCGUUGAGCUAACCGGUACUAAUGAACCGUGAGGCUUAACCUUACAACGCCGAAG